AUGCCAUGGUAAGGGCAUUUUCUCAACAACUCUUUGUACCUUUCCCAAGCAUAAGGUUUUGCUUCAUUAUCCAUUUGUCUAAACAAACAUAUUUCAUUUAUGGAUUU